CCUCGCGCAGAAUAAAAUUCCAUAGAGAGAUCUUCGGCAGGUGUAAUUCUGACAUCCAAUACGAGGAAGUCGCAGGGAAAUCAGUGUGUCUGGAAAGAUUUAUUAGUUUUCGCUUUUAACAGUUUGCUCGUUUUCUUUAAAAACAACAUUUCUGACGAUUGUUUAGGGUUUCCAAGUUUUGGCCUCUCCACCAUUAUGACAGCCUGAAAGAAACGAGUAAAGAUGGGAUGUUUCGGAGCAGCUACUAGGGUACACUCAUCAUCGGUGAAUGGAAGACCUAUCCCUCCUGAUUUAGAAAAUUUUGACGGGCCAGUGAAAGAGCGACAUUGUCGUGACGUUACCUUCUUAAUUCUAUUUGCUCUUUUUUUUUGCUUUUGGGUUCUAACUAUGAUCUAACCUUUGAAAGCGAAGUUUUCAAUUCAUUACAUCUGACUCGAGGGUUCUGUGGUGGAAAAAACAAUUCUAUCAUACCAGUCGGUACAUAAGACGUGAGUUUUGUAACUGAGGACGAACGCCACCACUGCCGAAGACUGACACGGCUUUACUCGAGUGCCCUGGACUUAAAUCAAGAAUGAUAAGUUGUAUAAUUUACCUUUGAAUUGUUUUCAAACUAAGUGUGACCUAUUGGCAUCUAAGGUUGUAGUUGAAACAGUGCAACUUUUAAAAUAUAAUUUUCAAUGAACAAAACGAGAGAAAAUCUUAUGUUGAUAACGUUGAAAAGUCUUUGCCCAAGUGAAGAGAGCAUUACUG